rnacentral:rRNA from 1 species
UACGGGGGGGGCAAGCGUUGUUCGGAAUUACUGGGCGUAAAGGGCUCGUAGGCGGCCAACUAAGUCGGAUGUGAAAUCCCCAGGCUUAACCUGGGAACUGCAUCCGAUACUGGAUGGCUUGAAUCCGGGAGAGGGAUGCAGAAUUCCAGGUGUAGCGGUGAAAUGCGUAGAUAUCAGGAGGAACACCGGUGGCGAAGGCGGGACUCUGGGCCGAUACUGACGCUGAGGAGCGAAAGCAUGGGGAGCGAACAGG